CUGCUGAUCAAGUGAUGAUGUUUUCAUGUCUCUUCUCUGAGUAAAAUCUGAAGAGUCUGAAUGAUUCUGACCCAGCAG
rnacentral:snoRNA from 1 species